rnacentral:lncRNA from 1 species
AUGGUGUCUCACGCUAAAGUGCGAUGGUUGUUUGUUUGCUAAAGUACGAUGGUAUAUCACGCUAAAGUGCGAUGGACCAAUAUGAUAAGAUCGACGGUUUAAAACAUUUAAAUACAUGGAUUUAAAAAAAUAAAAAAAAUAGUCUAUUUGCAAAAGCUAGAAUGCUAAGGUAUAACAUAUGUGAUAGGCUUUAUGAUUUAUCGGUAAGCUUAUAUAGUGAUAGUUUCUA